rnacentral:rRNA from 1 species
GAUCAACCAGACUGGCAAGAAAAGGUAUCCCAGGAUCGAGAUAAAGGUAUAGUCUACGCCCCUGGUAACAGGGAAUCGCGUGAAGUUCCGACCUGCACGAAUGGCGUAACGAGCUGAGCGCUGUCUCGACGAGGGACUCGGCGAAGUUGUGAAGCCCGUGAAGACACGGGCCACCCGCGGCUGGACGGAAAGACCCCGUGGAGCUUUACUGCAGCUUGUCAUUGGAUGUGGUCUUACCGUGUAGAGGAUAGGUGGGAGGCGGAGAAGCCGGGGCGCCAGCCUCGGUGGAGCCACCCUUGGAAUACCACCCUCGGCAAGGUUACGUCCUAACCUGGGCCCUCAGCGGGUCUGGGGACAGUGGCAGGUGGGCAGUUUGACUGGGGCGGUCGCCUCCUAAACGGUAACGGAGGCGCCCAAAGGUCCCCUCAGCACGGUUGGAAACCGUGCGGCGAGUGCAAGGGCAUAAGGGGGCUUGACUGCGAGGCCUACAAGCCGAGCAGGGGCGAAAGCCGGGCCUAGUGAUCCUACGGCGGCAAGUGGAAGCGCCGUGGCUUAACGGAUAAAAGCUACCCCGGGGAUAACAGGCUAAUAGGGCCCAAGAGUCCACAUCGACGGCCCUGUUUGGCACCUCGAUGUCGGCUCAUCUCAUCCUGGGGCUGUAGUAGGUCCCAAGGGUUGGGCUGUUCGCCCAUUAAAGAGGUACGUGAGCUGGGUUCAGAACGUCGUGAGACAGUAACCUGGACCGUUGCUGUCUAUAAAUCUGGCUAUAUGCUGGAAAGCCUGGGGGAUCCCACGCUACCCAUCCUGCAAACCCGUUGAGGAUGUGCCGAUAGGUAGGGAUGGGUGACAAUGCGAUGGGUGCAGGUAACCAGCAGGGAAGGCCAGAUGAGGGGAUCAGCCACUACAUCGCAGGUUUUGUCGACGGGGAAGGUUCGUUCCACGUGGCGGUGCAACGUCAUCCCACCACCCGGUGGCGAUGGCAGAUCGUGCCCGAGUUCCGGGUUUCCCAGAACGACGGUAAUCAGCACGUGCUGGAGUUGAUCCAGAGCGUGUUGGGCUGCGGGCACAUCAAGCGGAACCACGGGAAGAGCCUGCGAGACAGAACCUGGGUGUUGGUGGUAAGACAUCGCUCCGACCUGAUCGGGAAGGUGAUCCCGUUCUUCGAGCGGUAUCGCCUGCACACGACGAAGCGUCAUGAUUUCGAGCGGUUCGCGGCUGUCGUCCGGGCUGUGGCGGUGGGGCAACAUCGUCACCCCGCAGGACUCCGCGAGUUGCUGCGCGUGGCCUUCGCGAUGAAUCAGGGUGGAGCUCGGCGACGGCUGUCGCUGGAGACGGUCCUUGCUCAUCUGGAACCCUCAGAGACUGUACGCCAGACACCUCGCACGAGGUGAAGAUACAGUCCGAGCUUUCAGGCGACUGAAAGAGGCAGGCAGAAAUGACCUGCCCCCUCCCCUUCCAGGAGGAGUAACAACACUGUCGGUCCCUAUCCACCGCGGGCGCAGGAGACUUGAGGGGAGCUGCUCCUAGUACGAGAGGACCGGAGUGGACGGACCUCUGGUGUACCGGUUGUCCUGCCAAGGGCACGCGCCGGGUAGCCAUGUCCGGACGGGAUAAGCGCUGAAAGCAUCUAAGCGCGAAGCCCACCCCAAGACGAGGUCUCCCACCGGGUCAACCGGGUAAGCCCCCUGGGAGAUGACCAGGUUGAUAGGCCGGGGGUGUAAGCGCUGAGAGGCGUUGAGCCUACCGGUACUAAUCGGGCGAGGGCUUGAGCCC